AGCAGCCGCGGUAAUUCCAGCUCCAAUAGCGUAUAUUAAAGUUGUUGCAGUUAAAAGCUCGUAGUUGAAUUUCGGGGCCAGUAGGUUGGUCGUGCCACUGGUAUGCACUGGCCUCACUGGUUCCUCCUUCUUGAAGAACCGUAAUGUCAUUAAUUUGGUGUUGCGAGGAAACAGGACUGGUACUUUGAAAAAUUGAGUGCUUAAAGCAGGCUAACGCUUGAAUACAUUAGCAUGGAAUAAUGAAAUAGGACGUUCUAUCUUAUUUUGUUGGUUUCUAGGAUUGACGUAAUGAUUAAUAGGGAUAGUUGGGGGCAUUAGUAUUCAAUUGUCAGAGGUGAAAUUCUUGGAUUUAUUGAAGACUAACUACUGCGAAAGCAUUUGCCAAGGAUGUUUUCAUUAAUCAAGAACGAAAGUUAGGGAUCGAAGACGAUCAGAUACCGUCGUAGUCUU
rnacentral:rRNA from 1 species